CGCGGGGUAGAGCAGCUGGUAGCUCAUGAGGCUCAUAACCUCAGGGUCGCAGGUUCGAGUCCUGCCCCCGCCA
rnacentral:tRNA from 1 species